GAUGAACGCUGGCGGCGUGCUUAACACAUGCAAGUCGAACGGUGAAGGCGGAGCUUGCUCUGCUGGACCAGUGGCGAACGGGUGAGUAACACGUGAGCAAUCUGCCCCUGACUCUGGGAUAAGCGCUGGAAACGGCGUCUAAUACUGGAUACGAGCUGCGAAGGCAUCUUCAGCAGCUGGAAAGAACUUCGGUCAGGGAUGAGCUCGCGGCUUAUCAGCUUGUUGGUGUGGUAGUGGCUCACCAAGGCGUUGACGGGUAGCCGGCCUGAGAGGGUGACCGGCCACACUGGGACUGAGACACGGCCCAGACUCCUACGGGAGGCAGCAGUGGGGAAUAUUGCACAAUGGGCGGAAGCCUGAUGCAGCAACGCCGCGUGAGGGACGACGGCCUUCGGGUUGUAAACCGCUUUUAGCAGGGAAGAAGCGAAAGUGACGGUACCUGCAGAAGAAGCGCCGGCUAACUACGUG
rnacentral:rRNA from 1 species